rnacentral:lncRNA from 1 species
AUGCUUUUAAGUUGUGAACUCACCUUGGGUUGCUCGGUAGGUUUAGGUCAGGUUCGGUGUACAAGCAUUCACAUAAAAAUCUAUACACAUAACUGGCACGUAGCAUACAUACAAGUAAACAGUCGUGGGGUUAUUGGGCAGGCCUAAACAUUUAAGCAGUCAACAUCAACACAUAAUCCAGUCAACAGAUAGCCCAAGUUAAACACAUUAUGGCCCAAUAACCAAAGUGGACAGCCCAGUCGCAACCAGGAGGUCUCGAGUCGCAACCAGGAGGUUUCGGCUUGUCACGCUGUGGUUGCGAGUCUCGCAACGGCGUGGUCUCGAGUCGUAAUGCCGUGGUUGCGAGUCGGAAGCUGUCCCUUUCAUGUACACGUGAUGAUGCAGAUAUGACAGUCCAAUUUGUACCAAGUAAUCAGGCCCAAAUCGGGCAACAGCCAAUGAGGUUUCACAAACAACUUUGCCUAAUCUGAAUAUUAGUAAACUUAGAUCAAACUUUGCCAUUUUUGAAAUCUUCAAACUACAUUCAACAAGUUCAUCCAAUGUUCAUCAUUUUUCUAGGGUUUUCAUGCCAACAUAAUCACACAUUUUUGAACCAAAAACCACAUAUUUUAACAAGGUCAAUAAGCAAGAACACAAAACAUUCAUUUUGUAACCUUUGGUUGGCAUAAUCAUUCCUAAAUCAUUAUUCUUUUGGCCAUGUAAACAUAUUAUCAUGCUUUCAUACAUAAAGAUUUUCACAUAAAGGCAAACCUCACAAACCAUCCUAAAGAUCAUGCAUAAUAUCACUAACCAAGCAUUUCUAGUUCAUAAACAUUUCACAAAUCUUUUAUACAUAAAGUUAACACUAACCGGUUGUGAGGAAGAAGAAUGAGCCGAAAACAAAGAGAAAGGAAUCGAGAAGAUGGAGUGUCCGAGUGAUGAUCUUGACCGAGUUCUUGUCCGAGAUCCUUGCUUGAACCGAGAUUUUGGAGAAGGAAAGUGGUGUUUGUAGAGGGUUUUCUAGUUGAGAGA